UACGAAGGGGGCUAGCGUUGUUCGGAAUCACUGGGCGUAAAGCGCACGUAGGCGGAUUGUUAAGUCAGGGGUGAAAUGCCAAGGCUCAACCUUGGAACUGCCUUUGAUACUGGCAAUCUCGAGUCCGGGAGAGGUGAGUGGAACUGCGAGUGUAGAGGUGAAAUUCGUAGAUAUUCGCAAGAACACCAGUGGCGAAGGCGGCUCACUGGCCCGGUACUGACGCUGAGGUGCGAAAGCGUGGGGAGCAAGCAGG
rnacentral:rRNA from 1 species